rnacentral:rRNA from 1 species
GUCCAGACUCCUACGGGAGGCAGCAGUGGGGAAUAUUGCACAAUGGGGGAAACCCCGAUGCAGCGACGCCGCGUGAGUGAAGAAGUAAUUCGUUAUGUAAAGCUCUAUCAGCAGGGAAGAAGAUGACGGUACCUGAGUAAGAAGCCCCGGCUAACUACGUGCCAGCAGCCGCGGUAAUACGUAGGGGGCAAGCGUUAUCCGGAUUUACUGGGUGUAAAGGGAGCGUAGACGGUGAGACAAGUCUGAAGUGAAAGCCCGGGGCUCAACCCCGGGACUGCUUUGGAAACUGCCUGACUGGAGUGCUGGAGAGGCAAGCGGAAUUCCUAGUGUAGCGGUGAAAUGCGUAGAUAUUAGGAGGAACACCAGUGGCGAAGGCGGCUUACUGGACUGUAACUGACGUUGAGGCUCGAAAGCGUGGGGAGCAAACAGGAUUAGAUACCCGUGUA